CACGAGGAGAUAGAAAACACAAACCUCUUUUUAGCUUUGUUCUCAUCGUGGCAGGAUACAGCUGAUCCCUCCCAUACUAAAGAAAAUGAAAUAUGUACUUCAGUAAUUCACACACAAAUGAAUCCAGAAGAUUAUGAUUGUCAUCAAGCCCAACGAAGCAAGGAUUAUCCAAGUGAAUUAGAAACAGAAUUAGAGAAAACAGCAGAGAAAACACGUAGUAAAAAUAAAAGCAACCAGGAUUUCAUUAAAAAAAACAUUGAGGUAAGUGUUAAAAUGUCAAAUCAUUUACAUUUUGUUAAAUGUUAGCUAAAUAUUGGUCUAUAAGUACUUCUG
rnacentral:lncRNA from 1 species